CACAGAGGCAAUAACAUCAUUGAAAGAUCGAAAAGGUUCAAGCCAGCCAGUAAUAGCAAAGUUCAUUGAAGCUAAGUAUAAGGAAUUUCUUCCCCCAAAUUUCAAGAAAAUCCUCUCUGUUCAGUUGAAGAAAUUCGUAGAGUAGGAGUAGAUAUUCAAAAUCAACAAUUCAUAUAAGAUUUCAGCUAAUCCCCACAAGGAAAAAAUAAAGAGCUUGAGCCAAGUAAAGACCCCAGAAGCAUUGAAGAAGAAUGUAUCAACUACUCCAGGUAAAACUGGUGGCAGGAUGAAGAGAUUGAGCCAAGUGUAUACACCAGAGAGGCUACAGACACCCAAGAAACACAAGUCUUUGAGGGAUAAGACAAAAGAAGAAUCAUAAAAAGGAAGCGGAUUUUGUGCUUAUGAUAUAGUUUUAUAAUACGAUGAUGACAAACUUGGAAGAGUAUUAUUGAAGAAUAUUAAAUGUUCUAUAAGUUGGUGGUCACAUAAACUAGGGGGAUAUAUUGCAAGCUACAUUGGAUUAAAAAUCAAGCAUGGGUCACUCUUGAUUCAUAAGCCACUUAGUUAGGUU